UACGUAGGGGGCAAGCGUUGUCCGGAUUUAUUGGGCGUAAAGCGCGCGUAGGCGGCGCGGUAUGUCGUGCGUGAAAUCUCCCGGCUUAACUGGGAGGGGCCGUGCGAAACUGCCGGGCUUGAGGUCGGAAGGGGAAAGUGGAAUUCCGGGUGUAGUGGUGGAAUACGUAGAUAUCCGGAGGAACACCAGCGGCGAAGGCGGCUUUCUGGGCCGAUACUGACGCUGAGGAGCGAAAGCGUGGGGAGCGAACGGG
rnacentral:rRNA from 1 species